rnacentral:rRNA from 1 species
CUUGCUCCACCGAAAGAAAAGGAGUGGCGAACGGGUGAGUAACACGUGGGUAACCUGCCCAUCAGAAGGGGAUAACACUUGGAAACAGGUGCUAAUACCGUAUAACAAUCGAAACCGCAUGGUUUCGGUUUGAAAGGCGCUUUUGCGUCACUGAUGGAUGGACCCGCGGUGCAUUAGCUAGUUGGUGAGGUAACGGCUCACCAAGGCAACGAUGCAUAGCCGACCUGAGAGGGUGAUCGGCCACAUUGGGACUGAGACACGGCCCAAACUCCUACGGGAGGCAGCAGUAGGGAAUCUUCGGCAAUGGACGCAAGUCUGACCGAGCAACGCCGCGUGAGUGAAGAAGGUUUUCGGAUCGUAAAACUCUGUUGUUAGAGAAGAACAAGGAUGAGAGUAGAAUGUUCAUCCCUUGACGGUAUCUAACCAGAAAGCCACGGCUAACUACGUGCCAGCAGCCGCGGUAAUACGUAGGUGGCAAGCGUUGUCCGGAUUUAUUGGGCGUAAAGCGAGCGCAGGCGGUUUCUUAAGUCUGAUGUGAAAGCCCCCGGCUCAACCGGGGAGGGUCAUUGGAAACUGGGAAACUUGAGUGCAGAA